UCGAGCUCGCGGAUCGGACGGCUGGGCCUUGACCGGCCCAACGAUUGGGCCGGUGCACCGGCGCAGAUCACUGCCCGGGAAAGAAUCAAUCAGCUGCCUGUCUUGCCAGUUGCCACUGGGAUAUUCGCAUGCUAGCAAAUUAACAAGUGAUCACAAAAAAACUUUAAGCACAAACCUAAUUACCACCUUCAAAUCUCUAAUCUCUCUCCAAUCAAAUUAUCUUCACUACUAUUAAACAAUCAAACAAGAACUUCACUAAACGCACCCCGCAAACCGUACAGAGACCCAAUACCACCACAUGAUCAGGCCCACUAAUCACAAUCCAACGGCUAGCCUUGUAAUCUGAUACGUUUCUGGUGUGCACUUACCGAUUUAACUUCGCUGACCGUACUCCACCGCGGAGAAAAAUAGAGACCCCACACGCACUCGACCAAACCCCCUACAAUCACGCAUCACAUAGGCCAUGCAAAGAAAAAAAAACAUGCGUAUAUCCCAUAAAAAUAGAAACAGAUCCCCAGGUUGAUCGCCUCGCCGCACGGAAGCUUCGUCGCCUUGGUGGACGACGACCUCGCCGCCCGGCAGCCGAGUCCCCUUCCUGGUCGGCGCCCUCGCCGCCCUGUACCCACCCAUCAAGUGCGUGGUUGUUCCUCAUCACCUCCUCACUGAGGAGGAUCCCCUCGCCGCACGGAAGCAUCAUCGCCUUGGUGGACGACGACCUCGCCGCCCGGCAGCAGCGUCGCCUUCCCAGUUGGCGCCCUUGCUACCGUGUACCCACCCUCAAGUGGGUGGCUGUUCCUCCAUCACUUCCUCACUGCGGACAGGCCGUCGGCUCCCUGCACCUCUUUCGCCAUCCUCUGAAACAUCAGGCAAGAUUUUAAUACAUAGUAUACAUCUCUUCUUCUUUUCUUUUACUUAGAAUGGACAGUAAUAUUUACAUGGUGCGCUUCAUGCCUCUAUCCAAUCAAUGUUCUGACUAUAAUGAGCAGAUUCUGGGUUUUCAAGUGCAUAUUUCAGUGAAGUAAAUUUUGGGUUUUUAAGUGCAUAUUUCAGUGAAGUAAUAAAACAGUACUGUCAUAUUUAUUACUCUAGCAUCGCAUCAUGGAUUGGACCAGUUUCUUGUAAUUAAUUUGAAAUAACAACUCGCUCAACUGAGGGCGCCAUGGUUACAAAAUACAGCCUGCAUGUGUGGGUGGAAGUUCUAAUCAAAACAAGCCAACCAUCAACUAAUCCAUGAUAAUGCUCAGUUGCUGAGCCGCAUAUCCUACAUCAUAGCAUAUAAUCUGCGUGCCAAAUGCCUUUAUGACAAGACGACGAAGUAAGUAUAUGUAGCUUUAUGACAAGAUAGUGCUGGUUUAACAUGAGUUUCUAUUAUCUCCUAUAACUAAGGUGUGCACUUCAUAUUGUAGAUCAUAGACGCAUACAUACAUUGCAUAAGUGCUAAAGAGCAUCUACAGAUGAGGUCAGGUGGAAGUGUGUUCUUAGAGAAUGCACACAUGUCUAAGAUGAUAAAGGAAUUUAGCUGUAUACAAUUUGAAGCACCAAGAUGGGUAUUAAAGAGAGCUACAACUUAUUUGGACAUGGUAUGGUGAGUCACAGUUCCAUAUUACUAUGAAUUCAAUCGAGGACAAAUUUUUGUAUAGAUCAGACCUCAACUAAUAGAAACCCUUUUUCAAAUAUUCGUUCCAGUAAACAUUGAAGACUUUCAUUGGUACCUAGCAGUUAUAAAUACAAGGGUGUGAUGCAUCCAGGUGGUCGACUCACUAGGCACAGGAAUUCACCGCAAAGACCUCACUAAUAUGGUUAGUUAUUAGUCCUGCUGCACCAUUUCUUGAUAGAACAAUUUCUGUUAUUCUUCACUUGUGAUGCUAAUACUUUGUCAUUUAUUCAUGCAACAGCUGGAAGGACUGGAAAGUGUAUUCAAAUUUGCAUCGGUUCACAUCGAACUAAAAUCAGAUAAGUGGAAGGACCUAGACAUUUCAACAUGGCCAAGGCAAGAGCGUAUUAAGAGCACACUGCAGACAAAUGGGUAUACCUCCUAAUUCAACGCUUAUGUGUUUAUUGUAUAUGCCCAUUAAUCGCAUUAGAAAGAAAAUAUCCCCGCAAUUACGAAUAGAGUAUGCAUAUGCAUGUAAGUCAUAACAAAUGAGACUAGAUGACAUAAUAGUUAAGGGUCUUCGUCACGAGCAGACUACUCAUCCAUGAUGUUAACCUACAGUAGCAAACCAUCACAAAUUAGCAGUCUGCUUAAAUAUAAGACGGCGGGACCAAAAUCACUUCAAUUGCUAUGUGCAUGUUUAUCUCUUGUUAGUUCCAAAUUUCUUAUCUAGAAACAUCACUGAAAUCGUGGAGUCCAAUUUCAUUCCUGAUAGAGAUUAGUGCAGUUGUAGAUUUCAGUGCCACAACGACUACUGUUAGUAAAUUAGUGGCAUGACUAUAUCAGAAAGAAAAUUCAUACGGGCAACCAAAUCUUUUAUAACAAAACUAAAGCUUGACAUGAGAUACUUGUCAGAGUAUGUUUGUGAAAGUACAAUUCAUACAUGCAUCAUGGGCGUAUCCACCUUCUUGACCUCAUCUUCCGUGAGCAUCCCAUCAACGUUCUUCUCGUACCUUCUUGACCUCAUCUUCCACGAGCAUCCCUUCAAUGUUCUUUUGCUUAUAAAAGAGAAAAACUUAUUAGAUUCUGCAUUAUGCUGAAUAUUUCUUGUGAGGGUGACGAGGCUUGUGUGUGGAGGAUGUUCUGUUGUUGUUGUUACACUUGUCAUGUGUACUGCUAGACACACAUAAAUACAUGACCAAAAUGAGAUUUAGUUGGUUGUGCCUUGUUUGCAAAGUCUGUCUGGUUUGCAAAGUCUCAUGUGCAUUCAUGUUUUCAAGCUGAUUUGAUGUCAAAACUGAAUGGACUACCCGGUAUAAUCAUCUGUCAAGCCAACCUCAGCAUGGAGAUUUUCGAUUUUAUAUACGUACACUAUCUAAAUCAUAGCUUACACAACAAUCAGCUCAAAACACCAACUGAGUCAGUGUCCGGCGCUGUGGAGACUGGAGGGUAACGCGUGGGCUUACCAGCUGCGAGCGGCGCGCGGAGCGGGAGUUCUCACAUUGGGCCAAGGCGAGGAGUUCUCACAUCGGGCCAAGGCGAGGAGUUCUCACAUCGGGCCAACGCGAGAAUGAGCGCGACACCAGCUCCUUCGACUCCUCCCCCUACGCAGGCCGACGGGCAGCUCGCCGGUGAAAGAGAAGCGCCCGAUCCGCUGCAUCUGGUGCCGCAGCCGCCGAUCCGGUGGAGACGAAUCCGACACCUCUGCAUCCGCCUCAGACGCCGCCUUGCGCUGGGUCGCCCGAUAGAGCUCGAGCGCCUCCUCGGGGACUACGUCGCGGCCGGAUUCGACGAGAAGGGGCCGUCUAAACCUAGCGCCGGCGAUGGGGAAGAAAGUCAGUGCAUGCGGUUCUCUCCUUCCUAUCCUUCUGCUCCCGCUAGCAGAGAUUUGGCGCCGGCGGCAGACGCAGCUGGGCGCGGCACGGGCGGCAGGCGUAGUUGGGCGUGGCACGGGCGGCAGACGCAGCGGCAGAUGCAGGGCGCGGUGUGGGUGAGGGCCGGCCUGACGAGCUGGAUAGGGGUAGCGGGGGCGGUGGAGUGAAUGUGCACGUUGAGAAUGGGGAACGGCGGACAGAUAUGCCUAGCGGGGGGCGG
rnacentral:lncRNA from 1 species